UACGGAGGGUGCGAGCGUUGUCCGGAAUUACUGGGCGUAAAGGGCGCGUAGGCGGGAUGGCAAGUCGGUCGUGAAAUCCCUCGGCUCAACCGAGGAACGUCGAUCGAUACUGCUGUUCUUGAGGAUUGCAGAGGAGACUGGAAUUCCCGGUGUAGCGGUGAAAUGUGUAGAGAUCGGGAGGAACACCGGUGGCGAAGGCGGGUCUCUGGGCAAUUCCUGACGCUGAGGCGCGAAAGCGUGGGGAGCAAACGGG
rnacentral:rRNA from 1 species